rnacentral:rRNA from 1 species
CCUACGGGAGGCAGCAGUGGGGAAUAUUGCACAAUGGGGGAAACCCUGAUGCAGCGACGCCGCGUGAGUGAAGAAGUAAUUCGUUACGUAAAGCUCUAUCAGAAGGGAAGAAACACUGACCUUACGGUCAGCAGACGGUACCUGAGUAAGAAGCCCCGGCUUACUACGUGCCAGCAGCCGCGGUAAUACGUAGGGGGCAAGCGUUAUCCGGAUGUACUGGGUGUGAAGGGAGCGUAGACGGUGCGCCAAGUCUGGAGUGAAAUGCCGCAGCUGAACUGCGGAACUGCUUUGGAAACUGGCGAACUAGAGUGCGGGAGGGGUAAGCGGAAUUCCUAGUGUAGCGGUGAAAUGCGUAGAUAUUAGGAGGAACACCGGUGGCGAAGGCGGCUUACUGGACCGUAACUGACGUUGAGGCUCGAAAGCGUGGGGAGCAAACAGGAUUAGAUACCCGAGUAGUC